UACGUAGGGUGCAAGCGUUGUCCGGAAUUAUUGGGCGUAAAGCGUGCGCAGGCGGUUUGCUAAGACAGGUGUGAAAUCCCCCGGGCUUAACCUGGGAACUGCGCUUGUAACUGGCAAGCUAGAGUGUGGCAGAGGGGGGUGGAAGUUCCAGGUGUAGCAGUGAAAUGCGCAGAUAUCAGGAGGAACACCGGUGGCGAAGGCGGGGUCUCUGGGCCGAUACUGACGCUGAGGAGCGAAAACGUGGGAGCGGAACAGG
rnacentral:rRNA from 1 species